UAGGUUAGUUCUCAGAAUCUGUAAAACAACAAGAAAUUGUAUAAUGAGCUAGACAGCCCAGUAAGUAAUAAACAUCUUAACUAGUCAAUUCAUAUAAUAACAUAAAAUAUAAAUACAAAUUACGAUGAAUCAACAUAAUAACAUAAUCAAUUCCUUUUCAAGCACAAAUUCAUUAAAAUUCGUAUUUUUCAAAUAUCUAUAUACAUAAUCAUAAAUCUGAUUCGAAACAAAUCAUAUUCAUCUCAUCAGCCUUUAGCUACGACCCCACUUAUACCCUGUGGCUAGGCCAGAAAUAGAACCGCACUUAUACCCUACGGAGUGGGCCAGAAUACCACACUUAUAUCCUGCGGAGUGGGCCAGAAUACCACACUUAUACCCUGUGGUGGGGCCAGAAUUGCCAAUGCAUAACCCCCUAUUGGCAGGGUCCAGAACAUAGCCAGACUGAGAGUUCUAAAUCUGAUGCACAUCAAAAUUCUUUUGUAACAUAAUAAAUAUAUCAUAAUUCGAUCUAAAUAUGCAUAUAGGAUACAAAAACAGUAAUAUAACAAUAGUCCAAAAAAUAUUAUUACAAUUCACAUAUCCAUUUUUCAUUCAAAGCAUCAUCUCAUAAAAUUCAUAAAUCACAUAUAAAUUCAUUAACAAUUUAUUCGAUGCAAAAAUAAUAUUAUAUAAAUGAAGAGUCU
rnacentral:lncRNA from 1 species